GAUGCCACUGUGGCCAAAGCACAAAAGAAUUGAGUGUAACAGACCCAAAGAAAGCGGGUUAUUGUCAACAAUUUAACUGCACUCCACCGAGUAACUGCCCCAGAUACCACUGCCGUUGUACUGCUUCAAUGAGCAAUCUCUUUCAUUCAUAUAAAGAAUGUGUGCCGCUUAGAGUUAUUUAGCAAGCUAAUAAAUCAUGGCUAAAUAAACAAUAAAUGUCAUUUACUAUUGA